UACAGAGACCUCGAGCGUUAUCCGGAUUUAUUGGGCGUAAAGGGUCCGUAGGCGGUUUGGCGCGUCCGCGGUGAAAGCUCCCGGCUCAACCGGGGAACUGCUGCGGAUACGGCCAGACUUGAGCGUGUGAGAGGCUGGAGGAACUCACGGUGGAGGGGUGAAAUCCGUUGAUAUCGUGGGGAACACCGAAGGCGAAAGCAUCCAGCUGGCGCAACGCUGACGCUGAGGGACGAAAGCGUGGGGAGCGAAUGGG
rnacentral:rRNA from 1 species